rnacentral:rRNA from 1 species
UACGUAGGGUGCAAGCGUUAAUCGGAAUUACUGGGCGUAAAGCGUGCGCAGGCGGUUUCGUAAGUCUGACGUGAAAUCCCCCGGGCUCAACCUGGGAAUUGCGUUGGAGACUGCAAGGCUGGAGUCUGGCAGAGGGGGGGUAGAAUUCCACGUGUAGCAGUGAAAUGCGUAGAGAUCGGAAAAGAACACCAACGGCGAAAAGCACUCUGCUGGGCCGACACUAACACUGAGAGACGAAAGCUAGGGGAGCGAAUGGG